GUAGGUGGCAAGCGUUGUCCGGAAUUAUUGGGGCGUAAAGCGCGCACAGGUGGGUUCUUUAAGCCUGAUGUGAAAGCCCCCGGGCUCAACCGGGGAGGGUCAUUGGAAACUGGGGAACUUGAGUGCAGGAGAGGAAAGUGGAAUUCCACGUGUAGCGGUGAAAUGCGUAGAUAUGUGGAGGAACACCAGUGGCGAAGGCGACUUUCUGGCCUGUAACUGACACUGAGGCGCGAAAGCGUGGGGAGCAAACAGGAUUAGAUACCCUGGUAGUCCACGCCGUAAACGAUGAGUGCUAAGUGUUGGGGGGUUUCCGCCCCUCAGUGCUGCAGCUAACGCAUUAAGCACUCCGCCUGGGGAGUACGGUCGCAAGACUG
rnacentral:rRNA from 1 species